UGGGGAAUAUUGCACAAUGGGCGCAAGCCUGAUGCAGCCAUGCCGCGUGUGUGAAGAAGGCCUUCGGGUUGUAAAGCACUUUCAGCGAGGAGGAAGGUGGUGAACUUAAUACGUUCAUCAAUUGACGUUACUCGCAGAAGAAGCACCGGCUAACUCCGUGCCAGCAGCCGCGGUAAUACGGAGGGUGCAAGCGUUAAUCGGAAUUACUGGGCGUAAAGCGCACGCAGGCGGUUUGUUAAGUCAGAUGUGAAAUCCCCGGGCUCAACCUGGGAACUGCAUUUGAAACUGGCAAGCUAGAGUCUCGUAGAGGGGGGUAGAAUUCCAGGUGUAGCGGUGAAAUGCGUAGAGAUCUGGAGGAAUACCGGUGGCGAAGGCGGCCCCCUGGACGAAGACUGACGCUCAGGUGCGAAAGCGUGGGGCAGCAAACAGGAUUAGAUACCCUGGUAGUCCACGCUGUAAACGAUGUCGAUUUGGAGGUUGUGCCCUUGAGGCGUGGCUUCCGGAGCUAACGCGUUAAAUCGACCGCCUGGGGAGUACGGCCGC
rnacentral:rRNA from 1 species